rnacentral:rRNA from 1 species
GACGAACGCUGGCGGCGUGCUUAACACAUGCAAGUCGAACGAUGAACCCGGAGCUUGCUCCGGUGGAUUAGUGGCGAACGGGUGAGUAACACGUGAGUAACCUGCCCUUGACUCUGGGAUAACUGCGGGAAACUGCAGCUAAUACCGGAUACGACCCUCGGCGGCAUCGCCAGGGGGUGGAAAGAAUUUCGGUCAAGGAUGGACUCGCGGCCUAUCAGCUAGUUGGUGAGGUAACGGCUCACCAAGGCGACGACGGGUAGCCGGCAUGAGAGGGUGACCGGCCACACUGGGACUGAGACACGGCCCAGACUCCUACGGGGGGCAGCAGUGGGGAAUAUUGCACAAUGGGCGCAAGCCUGAUGCAGCAACGCCGCGUGAGGGAUGACGGCCUUCGGGUUGUAAACCUCUUUUAGUAGGGAAGAAGCGAAAGUGACGGUACCUGCAGAAAAAGCACCGGCUAACUACGUGCCAGCCGCCGCCGUAA